rnacentral:rRNA from 1 species
CCUACGGGCGGCAGCAGUAGGGAAUCUUCCACAAUGGGCGAAAGCCUGAUGGAGCAACGCCGCGUGGGUGAAGAAGGUCUUCGGAUCGUAAAACCCUGUUGUUAGAGAAGAAAGUGCGUGAGAGUAACUGUUCACGUGUCGACGGUAUCUAACCAGAAAGCAACGGCUAACUACGUGCCAGCAGCCGCGGUAAUACGUAGGUGGCAAGCGUUAUCCGGAUUUAUUGGGCGUAAAGGGAACGCAGGCGGUCUUUUAAGUCUGAUGUGAAAGCCUUCGGCUUAACCGGAGUAGUGCAUUGGAAACUGGGAGACUUGAGUGCAGAAGAGGAGAGUGGAACUCCAUGUGUAGCGGUGAAAUGCGUAGAUAUUUGGAAGAACACCAGUGGCGAACGCGGCUCUCUGGUCUGUAACUGACGCUGAGGUUCGACAGCGUGGGUAGCAAACAGGAUUAGAUACCCCAGUAGUC